AAUUUCAACUUCUAAUCUGACCAUUCAAACCCUAAAUGGUUUGGAUUCAAAAUAUAAUCCAGUAGUUGUAAAACUAUCUGAUCAAACUACACUCAGUUGGGUGGAUUUAUAAGCUCAAUUGCUAAACUUUGAAA
rfam:Cicer arietinum chromosome Ca1, whole genome shotgun sequence.